rnacentral:lncRNA from 1 species
ACUAAUCAUUUUCAACUUUCGAGUCAACAUGUUGAAGUUGCUCACAAUAUUAACAUCUAGAUCUAUAUCUGGUAGGAACCCUAAUAGCACAUGUUUCUCUCUGAUUUUCCACCGUACUUCCCUUUACACCCACACAUCGACCUAUAUUGUACACACUUAAUUUUUCAACUACUAAUGAAGCUAAAAACUCAACAUGGUUUUUAUA